rnacentral:rRNA from 1 species
GAUGAACGCUAGCGGCAGGCUUAAUACAUGCAAGUCGUGGGGCAGCAGGACUGUAGCAAUACAGUUGCUGGCGACCGGCAAACGGGUGCGGAACACGUACGCAAUCUACCCAGAACUGGUGAAUAGCCCUCCGAAAGGAGGAUUAAUACACCGUAAUAUUAUAAAGUGGCAUCACUUAAUAAUUAAAGCUCCGGCGGUUUUGGAUGAGCGUGCGGCCCAUUAGGUAGUUGGUUGGGGUAAUGGCUCACCAAGCCUGCGAUGGGUAACUGGUGUGAGAGCACGACCAGUCACACGGGCACUGAGACACGGGCCCGACUCCUACGGGAGGCAGCAGUAAGGAAUAUUGGUCAAUGGACGCAAGUCUGAACCAGCCAUGCCGCGUGGAGGAUGAAGGCCCUCUGGGUUGUAAACUUCUUUUAUGGGGGACGAAAUCACUUAUUCUUAAGUGUCUGACGGUACCCCAGGAAUAAGCACCGGCUAACUCCGUGCCAGCAGCCGCGGUAA